rnacentral:rRNA from 1 species
UACGAAGGGGGCUAGCGUUGUUCGGAAUUACUGGGCGUAAAGGGCGCGUAGGCGGCCAAUUAAGUAGGGUGUGAAAGGCUUCGGCUCAACCGGAGCAUUGCGCUCUAGACUGCUUGGCUCGAGUGAGAUAGGGGUGUGCGGAACUUCCUGUGGAGCGGUGAAAUGUGUUGAUAUUGGAAGGAACGCCGGUGGCGAAAGCGGCACACUGGGUCUUAACUGACGCUGAGGCACGAAAGCCAGGGGAGCGAACGGG